GUGCUCACUUCUGGAGUACAUAUAAUAAAAUAUAAAUCAUAUAGAGAUGAUUAACAUGUCCCUAGUGCAAGGAUGACAUGCAGAUUUAUGGAGUGUACCAUAUUUUU
ensembl:snRNA U6 U6 spliceosomal RNA